UACGUAGGUGGCAAGCGUUGUCCGGAUUUACUGGGCGUAAAGGAUGCGUAGGCGGACAUUUAAGUCAGAUGUGAAAAUACCCGAGCUUAACUUGGGUGCUGCAUUUGAAACUGGGUGUCUAGAGUGCAGGAGAGGUAAGUGGAAUUCCCGGUGUAGCGGUGAAAUGCGUAGAUAUCGGGAGGAAUACCUAUGGCGAAAGCAGGCUUCUGGGCUAUCACUGACGCUCAUGCACGAAAGCGUGGGGAGCAAACAGG
rnacentral:rRNA from 1 species